GAUGAACGCUAGCGGGAGGCUUAACACAUGCAAGUCGAGGGGCAUCACGAGGUAGCAAUACUUUGGUGGCGACCGGCGCACGGGUGAGUAACGCGUAUGCAACCUACCCUGUACAGUGGGAUAACCCGGAGAAAUUCGGACUAAUACCGCAUAAAGAUAUUUUGAGGCAUCUUAAGAUAUUUAAAGCUUAGGUGGUACGGGAUGGGCAUGCGUAACAUUAGCUGGUUGGUAGGGUAACGGCCUACCAAGGCGAUGAUGUUUAGGGGACCUGAGAGGGUGAUCCCCCACACUGGUACUGAGACACGGACCAGACUCCUACGGGAGGCAGCAGUGAGGAAUAUUGGUCAAUGGGCGGAAGCCUGAACCAGCCAUCCCGCGUGCAGGAAGACAGCCCUAUGGGUUGUAAACUGCUUUUCCAGUGGGCGAAACACUCGUACGUGUACGAGAUUGACGGUACACUGGGAAUAAGCAUCGGCUAACUCCGUGCCAGCCGCCGCUGUAAAAC
rnacentral:rRNA from 1 species